rnacentral:rRNA from 1 species
GAUGAACGCUGGCGGCGUGCCUAAUACAUGCAAGUCGAGCGAACGGACGAGAAGCUUGCUUCUCUGAUGUUAGCGGCGGACGGGUGAGUAACACGUGGAUAACCUACCUAUAAGACUGGGAUAACUUCGGGAAACCGGAGCUAAUACCGGAUGAUAUUUUGAACCGCAUGGUUCAAAAGUGAAAGACGGUCUUGCUGUCACUUAUAGAUGGAUCCGCGCUGCAUUAGCUAGUUGGUAAGGUAACGGCUUACCAAGGCAACGAUGCAUAGCCGACCUGAGAGGGUGAUCGGCCACACUGGAACUGAGACACGGUCCAGACUCCUACGGGAGGCAGCAGUAGGGAAUCUUCCGCAAUGGGCGAAAGCCUGACGGAGCAACGCCGCGUGAGUGAUGAAGGUCUUCGGAUCGUAAAACGCUGUUAUUAGGGAAGAACAUAUGUGUAAGUAACUGUGCACAUCUGGACGGUACCUAAGCAGAAAGCCACGGCUAACUACGU